AGUUUCACCUGUGCUUUUUCUCGUUUGCCAAGUUAAAAUGUGCAGCGUUGAAAAGGUCUGCUGCAGCCUGUUGUCUUCAGAGACAGAGACCAUUACCCCAGCUAGUUUUUCUUUGGACUUUUGGCUGACUGCCUGAUCCCUCCUGGCCUUGUUUGCCUCUGAUGACCGGCUACCUGUUACUGACCUAAAUGCUGUCUUUUUGACAAGUAAAAGCCUAUUUUUGUCCCACUACCUGCUGUGUUUGCUUGCAGGUCUCAUUUCAAGUCUGCUAUAGAUACAACCUAAUUUUUGAGGCUCCACAUUUAAUGUUUUUAUGAGCAGAGCACAGAAACCCUGCUGACAUUAGUAGGAGUAGCACACCUUUUUCUCUGCAUCUACCCACCUGCCAGUGUGCCUGCCUGCAUUGGUAACUUUGAACCCAGCUAGUUUUUGGACUUUUGGCUGCCUGCCCGAUCGCUUCUGGUCCUGUUUGCCUCUGCUGACUGCCUACCUGUUUCUGACCUACAUCUUGCCUUAUGCCUAGUAAAGCUUCUUUUCUCAUACUUACUCCUACCCGCUGAUUCUGCCUCUGAGUCUGACACCUGUUACAGUGCUAACCUAAAUUUCGAGCAUCCUAAAUGUAGGGGCAGAGAACACGAAAACCAUUCCAACAACGGCAAGAGCAAUGGAGCACAGUCAUAAAAACCAAGCACAGUGAAAGGUUUUGUCUGAAGUAUUUGUCCCAGCUAGUGAACCACGAGCUAAUAAAGGGCGCUGGAGGAUGAAACCGUAUUCUUCUUUUAAUGCUCACCUGAAUGUUUGAUUUCACAUUAAAUUUCAUUGCAUGUUAUGAGUGUUUAAAAUGCCAAGUCCAUUUUAAAGGCUCUCUUGAAAAAAGAAUGAUUAUACUGUAUCUUUGUAGACCAUGCAGUACUUUAAUGUCUUCUCUGUGGGGUGUGGUGUUAUUGCCGAUCUGUGGAAGUUAGCCCUUCUGAAUAUAAAUUUAUGGAACCUGCCUGCUCCCGAACAUCAAUACGCAAAGGGGAAGAGAGAAAAAUUUGAUAAAUUACAGCUGCACAUCUUCCACAUAUUAGGCGUAAUAUGAAUAAAUGUCUCAGAUUGCAGUACAAUUAGUCAAAGCAAGCAGCACGUCUGCCAAGUCUAAGGCCACAGCUGUCCCUUCUGCUAGGUGUCUCUGCUCCAUGUCUAAAUAAAAAAAAAUAUCAACUACGGGUGGACUGCCUACUUUCCUCUACUUACAAAGAUCAGAAAUUGUAAUUUGGCUUCAUAUAACAAGCUUACGAGAUGCGUCAGCUUUUCAUAUAAAUUCCAAUUCUGUGCUUCCGAGUGCCAACACAGGUGUUAUCUCUGUUCCACAGUACCAUCCCGACAUGAAAGCCGAAUCUCAGAACCGAGUGGCUCCCGAUGAUCAAAUAAUCACCUGCUGUGCAGAAAACAACAUGAUAAUUUUAUCUCUGUUGCCCCU